rnacentral:rRNA from 1 species
UACGGAGGGGGCAAGUGUUGUUCGGAAUUACUGGGCGUAAAGGGCGCGCAGGCGGCUUGGCAAGUCGAGUGUGAAAUACCCCAGCUUAACUGGGGAAUGGCGCUCGAAACUACCUCGCUUGAGGGCGGGAGAGGGAAGUGGAACUCUCGGUGUAGGGGUGAAAUCUGUAGAUAUCGAGAGGAACACCGGUGGCGAAGGCGGCUUCCUGGCCCGUACCUGACGCUGAGGCGCGAAAGCGUGGGGAGCAAACAGG